GACGAACGCUGGCGGCGCGCCUAACACAUGCAAGUCGAACGGAGUCAAGAGGAGCUUGCUUUUCUUGACUUAGUGGCGAACGGGUGAGUAACGCGUGAGUAACCUGCUCUGGAGUGGGGGACAACAGUUGGAAACGACUGCUAAUACCGCAUAAGCCCACGGAUCUGCAUGGAUCUGCGGGAAAAGGAUUUAUUCGCUCUAGGAUGGACUCGCGUCCAAUUAGCUAGUUGGUGAGGUAACGGCCCACCAAGGCGACGAUUGGUAGCCGGACUGAGAGGUUGAACGGCCACAUUGGGACUGAGACACGGCCCAGACUCCUACGGGAGGCAGCAGUGGGGGAUAUUGCACAAUGGGGGAAACCCUGAUGCAGCGACGCCGCGUGGAGGAAGAAGGUGUUAGGAUUGUAAACUCCUGUCGUUAGGGACGAUAAUGACGGUACCUAACGAGAAAGCACCAGCUAACUACGUG
rnacentral:rRNA from 1 species